rnacentral:rRNA from 1 species
GGAAUCUUGCACAAUGGGGGAAACCCUGAUGCAGCGACGCCGCGUGAGCGAUGAAGCCCUUCGGGGUGUAAAGCUCUUUCGGCAGGGAAGAUAGUGACGGUACCUGCAGAAGCAGCUGCGGCUAACUACGUGCCAGCAGCCGCGGUAAUACGUAGGCAGCUAGCGUUGUUCGGAAUUACUGGGCGUAAAGCGAGUGUAGGCGGUCUGCCAAGUCCGUUGUGAAAUCUCCCGGCUCAACUGGGAGGGUGCGCCGGAAACUGGCAGGCUAGAGUACGGAAUGGGAGAGUGGAAUUCCUGGUGUAGCGGUGAAAUGCGUAGAUAUCAGGAGGAACACCGGUGGUGAAGACGGCUCUCUGGACCGUCACUGACGCUGAGACUCGAAAGCGUGGGGAGCAAAC